GUUCCAUUCUCCCCAUCACUUACAGGUACACCAAUCAAAUGUAGGUUUGGUCUUUUCACAUAGUCCCAUAUUUCUUGGAGGCCUUGUUCAUCCUUUUCAUUUUUUUCUCUAAUCUUGUCUUCACGCUUUAUUUCAUUAAGUUGAUCUUCAAUCUCUGAUAUCCUUUUUUCUGCUUGAUCAAUUCGGCUACUGAUACUUAUGUAUGCAUCACGAAGUUCUCGUGCUGUGUUUUUCAGCUCCAUCAGGUCAUAUAUGUUCUUCUCUAAACUGGUUAUUCUAGUUAGCAGUUCCUGUAACCUUUUUUCAAGGUUCUUAGCUUCCUUGCAUUGGGUUAGAACAUGCUCCUUUAGCUUGGAGGAGUCUGUAACGACCCACCUUCUGAAGCCUACUUCUGUCAAUUCAUUCUCCAUCCAGUUUUGUUCCCCUGCUGGCGAGGAGUUGUGAUCCUUUGGAGGAGAAGAGGCAUUCUGGUUUUUGGAAUUUUUAGCCUUUUUGCACUGUUU
rnacentral:lncRNA from 10 species